UUAUACCUUACUGUUGCCUCGGCGCAGGCCGGCCUCACUGAGGCCCCUCGGAAACGAGGAGCAGCCCGCCGGCGGCCAACCAAACUCUUGUUUCUUAGUGAAUCUCUGAGUAAAAAACAUAAAUGAAUCAAAACUUUCAACAACGGAUCUCUUGGUUCUGGCAUCGAUGAAGAACGCAGCGAAAUGCGAUAAGUAAUGUGAAUUGCAGAAUUCAGUGAAUCAUCGAAUCUUUGAACGCACAUUGCGCCCUCUGGUAUUCCGGAGGGCAUGCCUGUUCGAGCGUCAUUUCAACCCUCAAGCAUUGCUUGGUGUUGGGGCACCGCCUGUAAAAGGGCGGGCCCUGAAAUCUAGUGGCGAGCUCGCCAGGACCCCGAGCGUAGUAAUUAUAUUUCGUUCUGGAAGGCCCUGGCGGUGCCCUGCCGUUAAACCCCCAACUUCUGAAAAUUUGACCUCGGAUCAGGUAGGAAUACCCGCUGAACUUAAGCAUAUCAAUAGGCGGAG
rnacentral:rRNA from 1 species